AUCAACAAUCCACUACCAAUAAUAAUUCGUUGGGUUCAAACCACUAAACGAAAUAUUUAAGUCAAAUUAUUAUUAUUAUGGUUCAUAGUUUUUUAUAUUUUUAACCAUAAUUUUUUUUUUCAUCCGGCAUGAGAUUAUUGGGUUACAUUUUUUUACAUCUGUCAUCUAAUGGUGUGAGUGUGGUCUUGGUUCAUCUGAUCUUUGCCAUGUAUUUUAAGUUAGGACAUUAAUUAAGACUAUUUUUCUUAGAUCAUGUUCAAUCAGAUUUGUAAAGGAAUGCACUGGGUGCAACCAAU
rnacentral:lncRNA from 1 species